rnacentral:snoRNA from 1 species
GCCCAAUGAUGAGACCAAGGCGAAUACGAGCUCGCUGAAUGAGAGUUGGGUUCUUCUUGCCUUGAGUGGCAGGUAAUCUUGGCAGUGCAGGGGAGGAUUUCUGUCCUGCUGUAAGGGCCUGCCUACAGCGACCUGGCUCGACCCAAAUUAUUCUUCUACAGUCAGUGAGAGUAAUAACUGGGAGAAGCCUGACUCUGUGUGUGUGUGUGUGUGUGUUAGGCAAGGAGUUCUCCCAGCUCUCUUUGCCAUUCACUUAGUAAUGAGUUGCCUCUUUGGUAAUCUGAGGGCA